GCUGGAUUGAGAGUGUCUGUUUUUCUUAGUUCCUGAGCCCGGGGAAAUGAGUUCACUCCUCCUCUAUCUCAACUCUGCCUCCUGCCUAACGAUCCUGAAAUUCACGCUGCUCUGUCUUGUCUGUUAUGCUGUGAUAAGUCUCGCCAGAUCUGAGCUGCCCUGUGCCCCUGGAGAAGUUUCCCUUGGCUCAGAGCCUCAGGCUCCUUGAGAGGAGGCUACAGUACGUGGCCAGACACCUGGAUGAAGUUCUGAUACCGUGCAUUAAGGAGGACUCUAAAAUGACAGGCUGUCUCAGAAGCCAAGCAGUGGGACAUAAAGGAAAUGUGUCAGAAUUGUGAAUAGUCUUGGUGAGAAGGUGGAUCUAAUAAGCUUAAGGCUGGACGCAUCAAACUUCUACUAGGAAUUCGCUGGGCAUUGGAAUACACAUUUGUCUUUUUUUUUCUCCCCCCUAGCACCUCAACAGUGCUUUCCAGCAGAAGGGACAUAAGAAAUAUAUAACUGCAAAUUGGCACUGGCUCUGGUUUGGCUGAUCACUUAUUCCAACAACACAUUUGUGUAUGGCUAAGGACCCAGAGGAUAGUGUUCGGAAAGUGCAUGUCUGCCCUCUGGGGUAUCUUUUGGAUAGCCAAAAUGUCCUAUUAUCUCAUUGCUGUGUAAUGUAUAGUACAGGCUUGAUCAGUUGGCAAGAACAAAUGGGACAUAUGCCCACUUUUGUCUAAAAAGUGGGGUGUGG